ACUCAGGUACCACCUCCAGUUCUACAGAUACAGGGAAGAACUCCGGUACCACCUCCAGUUCUACAGAUACAGGGAAGAACUCCGGUAAUGACGUCCACAGAUUCUCUCCCCUCAUACUGAUAUUUGGGGUCGUCACAAAGCUGUUCCUGAGUCCCUGAUAGAUUAUUGUAGACAGCAUUUGUCAUCCCGACGCCAAUGGAAUUGCUUACUGAACACAAUGACGGAUGACAUUUUACCACAACUUACAUGAUGUGAUUGGAACGGAAAAAAAUUGAGAGUACGCCAUUUGUUCGUACAUAUGAGAUUUUUAUACGUUUCAUGUGACAUCUAAGCUAGCAAUCGUAAUGAUCUUCAAAGAUGUAACUUAAAUACCUCCAAGAUAAUACAUUAAUUUUUCCAAUCACCAAUUUUUCUUUCAAAUGCAGAUAGUAGAUUUAGUAGCUAAGACAAUUCAUUUAAUUUGAUAUAAAAGUAAACCUUUUCAUAAUAGUAUAUUCAUCUACUUGGAAGUGAAGACAAUUCUUAUCGUAAUUUGGAUUUUAAGUUCUUUAGGUCUUUUAUAUGAUUGAAUUUGUAAAUGAUUGUAAAAGUAACUAAAUUAAUUUAUGGAAAUUUGAUGAUAUGUUCAUAAUCGUUUUGUAAAUGUUCAAGUUAUGUAUCGACAAUACAUUUGUCUAAUUUGGUCAACCUUGUGCUGUGAUAUCAUAUACUUAUUUGUGUUUAUAAUCUAAAAUAAAAAUGCAGUA